rnacentral:rRNA from 1 species
GACGAACGCUGGCGGCGUGCUUAACACAUGCAAGUCGAACGGAAAGGCCCUGCUUGCAGGGUGCUCGAGUGGCGAACGGGUGAGUAACACGUAGGUGAUCUGCCCCUUACUUUGGGAUAAGCCUGGGAAACUGGGUCUAAUACUGGAUAGGACCAUGCUGUAGGUGGUGUGGUGGAAAGAUUAGUUUCGGUAAGGGAUGAGCUCGCGGCCUAUCAGCUUGUUGGUGGGGUAAUGGCCUACCAAGGCGUCGACGGGUAGCCGGCCUGAGAGGGUGGACGGCCACAUUGGGACUGAGAUACGGCCCAGACUCCUACGGGAGGCAGCAGUGGGGAAUAUUGCACAAUGGGCGCAAGCCUGAUGCAGCGACGCCGCGUGGGGGAUGACGGCCUUCGGGUUGUAAACUCCUUUCAGCCAUGACGAAGCCCUUGUGGUGACGGUAGUGGUAGAAGAAGCACCGGCUAACUACGUG